CUUCCUCAUUCCUAUCCAGAUGUUUAACAUUUUAUUUGUUCUUUGUGUCGGUGCGACGUUAAACGCAACAAAAUAAAAAAAAAUCUUUGUUUUAUAUUUUAGUGAAAAAUAUAUUGAUUAGGAUAAACGAACGUAUGGUGCAUGAAAGAAGAUGAAGAUUUAUCUAAUUAUAAUAUGUUUAGGACUGGCGACAGAAAGCUUUUGUAGUGGCACGAAGACGGUCAAUACAAACACUUGCAAAACAAAAUUGCACAGUUAUACUGAACAAACGGUUUUGUUUCUUGAAGCACUGAGCAAAUUUUCUAAACAGCCGCUUAGAAU